CUAAUAGUGAUCACAUUUGAUUUUGAUUUUGCAAGAAUAGAGUGAAGACUCUUACAAAGAAAAUUCACUGUAUAAAUAUCCUGCCCAAGAAAGGGAAGUUCAUCCUUACUCCAUCUACAGGAUCUGGGUGCCAAGAGAAACAGGAACCCCUUCGUGCUGGCCAAAGUAAUGAUAUACAUUAAGAAACAGUCUCCGAUGGCACCUGUGAUUAAAAUGAACAGUAACU